ensembl:lincRNA
CUUACUUUUUCAGGUUUGACAAGCUGCUAUGGAUUGAAUUGUGCCCCUCUCCCCACACCAAAUUCAUAUGUUGAAGCCCAAACACACGAUGUCAUGGUAUUUAAAGAUGGGGCGUUUGGGAGGUAAUUAGGUUUAAAUGAGUUCUUGAGGGUAGGACCCAUACAAUGGGAUUAGUGCCCUUAUUGUAAGACACCCCAGAGAGCCUGCUUACUUUCUUUUCUCUGUCUCUACCCACACCCCAGAAAAAAAUGCUUGUAUGAGGACAUAGUGAGGAAGGCAACCACCUGCAACCCAGGGAGAGAUACCUCAGCAGACAUUGGCUCUACUGGCACCUCGAUCUCGGACUUUUACUCUCCAGAAACAUAAAUUCCUGUUGGGUAAACCACCCAGUCUACAGUAUAUUGUUUUGGCAGCCUGGGCUGAUUAAGGCAGAACAGAAUCCUCACAUAAGCAACCAAGAGCAAAGACUCUCCAGAGAGGAAAUAUUCUAGAAGACAAGAUGAAGACAAACAGAACCAACAUGGAUUGCUUCUGAAAAGCAAGAAAGAAAAUAACGUGAAUGUGGUAUUUGAUCACCGAACUUUGACUUCUUUAUGGGUAUCAAGGAACAUAGAGGAGAAACCCUAAACACAUCAGUGCGAACAAGUGAGGCUAUGGUCUUUGUGUCCUUUUAAGUUUUUAUCUUUUCCUUUUCUGGAUUUAGAAUUCUGGCUUAGCCAGCUCUGUUAUUUUACACUUUUCAUCUGAUGGAGAGUUCUGAAAGAUGUGUCAGACUUUGUUAGUGUCCACUCUCACACCCCAGGCUAAGGGCUGUGUUUCCCACACUGCCUGUAGAC